AUGAAGACCACGUUUAUUGUGUUCAUCACCACAGAGGCAGUUUGCAUAGCAGUUAAGGAUGCUGGUUCUCGAACCAGGGAAGGUGGCAGCUAUGCACCCUGCUGCACACAUGGAUAAGACAAAAGAUAACUUGAGGAAAGCAGCAUCUGUUGGAGAAGAGCAGGAUGAAUCUUGAUAUACUGGCUUUAUGAAAAUAUAGGGUCACUCAUGCCACACUGCAAGGGAGAUUCUACUUUUAAAAUGAAUCUGCAGUGACUGUAGUUGAAAGUGCUCACAUCAACCCUGUGAACAAGAUCUUUAUUUCCAUGUUACUGAUGAAGACUCUGAGAUGCAGAAACUUAAGUCAAUUUGCCAGAAUUAAACAGUCAGGAUGGUUAUAAAUUUAGUUCAGUUUUUUGUGACCUCAAAUAUAUGUCUUUAGCCAUACCAAUAAAUAAGGGCUACAUAAGUCUAGGUGUGCAGGAACUGUGGAGAAGAUUGGCCUAAGUGCCAUACAAAAUCUUCAAAAUGUUCAUGAAAAAUAUGUAUUGUUAAAAAAAUCUGCAAAAAUUUCAAAAUUGUUUUGCACCAAAAUGAACUCAUACCAACUUGGUAUAACAUGUCUGAGCAGGAUCUACACUGAGGCACUAAGAAGGAUAAGACAUUAAUUUGA